UGUUAACCUUGGGUCCCCUCUGUGCCCAGAUUCUCAGUCCUCCUGAGAUCUCUCAGAGGUCUGAUCUGGAGGUUGUGGUGGUACAUACAUGCUCUGUCAUUGGGCCAGGCCACGCUUCCUCUUCCUCAGGCUGCUGUCCUUACCAGCAAGCCAGCUUGGGCACUUGGCACUGCACUUUAGGCAUAGAACAGACUUUUCCCUUAAAUUCUUCCCUCACAACAGGAACCAGACUGGGUUGACGAGCUAGGAAGAAAGAGGGGAAAGAGGGUAGAGUAUAGGUCCAGUUCUGAUUCUGCCAUUUACUCUGCACAGAAUGUGGAGCUUCUCAGCCUCAAACAUCCACCUACAGGCCAACAGACUCAACAAGCAUGGCUGAUCAUGAAGACUCUGGAAGACCCUCAGGAAGCUCAUGAAACUGAGGCUUUUUGUUAACACUGUGACUGUCUCCAGCCAGGCUUUGGCUGGGCCGUGCUAAGACUCCCUGCCUCCCCUUCACGGCCUCGUCCAAGAACCUCUCCAGUCUCAUCUCCAACUCCAGGCCUCCCACCCCCUUUCUGCCAGUAGAAGAUCGUCUGAAGGUCGUGUGGAGGACGGAUGGACAUGGCCCAGCCCGAGGAGGGUGGAGGCAGGAGUGUGCUGAGACCCAGUGAAAGGUAUCCUCCACAGGGGUGUGGAGAAGUGGGGGGCAGGUGAGGGCUGGCCUCAGAGCUGAACUGGGACGGGAGCCUGUGGGCACUGGAGGUGCUGCCAGGCAUGGGGGUCCCACACAGGCCGUGUGCACUCCGGAUACCGGGCUGCAUGUCCCCACUGUGGGCUCCCCCUAAGUACUGGCUCCAGGCCCUCCCGGCUCACCCCAGCCUCACCUGCACUCCCACCCUGUGUUUCCUGCCCCCACCUGCCCCGCCCGGGUCUGGGGCCCCCCCGUCAGCCAGGUGCCCUCUCCGACGUUCUCUCCACUUGAGAACAGAUGUCCAGGAUGGGCCACACACGCCCUGUGACUCUCUAACUGCAUGAAUGUGUGAUUAUAGCAACACGAGCAUCAAAUUACCAAGGACAAGUAGCUGUAAAAAAAGUAGAUGGCUUCUAAAUUUUUUUCUGCUGUAAACAAUAUGGGAAGGAUGAGUUUCAGACGUACCUCGUUGGAGACACGAGCAAAAGUUCCAUAGUCAAGAAGGGCGUGCCUGGGUCACAGGACCUGAGAAUGUUCCGCUUUGCUAGAUCUUGUCAAGUUUCUAUCCAAGGAAGAUUCUACCGAUUUUUGUUCUGAAAAGAUCACUCUGGGCGUGAAGUACAAAAAAGUGAGCUGGGUGGGGGUUGGGGGCUGCAAUGGGGGCCCAGGCACAUGGGAGCCAGGAGCCAGGUCAGCCAAGUUUAAGGUUCCUCAGUUAAAAAACUUGCGGACAACUUUCUGGGGGAGAGGCUCGGCUGCCUGUUCCCAUUGUGCCUCGUAUCAUCGGGCUGGCAAGGACAGAACCAUACGUCGCUCAAGUGUUAGCAACCAAAUGGUGAAUUGUGUGGGCCGCCAAACGUCUAUUCCUGGUAGACAAUUAUUAUUUAUUUUUUGCUGAACAGAACUCAAGGCCGAGAGGGUGCUCUGUCGUGCCCUUGUGUGGCAGGAGUGUUUUCCCUGCUUUGGCUGGGCCCGGCCUCUUUGUUAUGCGUGUGUUGUGUUGCAAAUGUGGAGCAAAUGAAGCCCAGAUAUGAAAUUAAUACCGUGAUCUGUUUUUCUGUUUUGUUGCCAUAACAAUCGGUGGCUCUUGAAGCAAAGACAAAAUUAGAAUUGUAUUAAAGGUGUUUAUACCAUGUACACUC